AGAGUUUGAUCCUGGCUCAGGAUGAACGCUAGCGACAGGCUUAACACAUGCAAGUCGAGGGGCAGCACAGGUAGCAAUACCGGGUGGCGACCGGCGCACGGGUGAGUAACGCGUAUGCAACUUACCUAUCAGAGGGGGAUAACCCGGCGAAAGUCGGACUAAUACCGCAUGAAGCAGGGAUCCCGCAUGGGAAUAUUUGCUAAAGAUUCAUCGCUGAUAGAUAGGCAUGCGUUCCAUUAGGCAGUUGGCGGGGUAACGGCCCACCAAACCGACGAUGGAUAGGGGUUCUGAGAGGAAGGUCCCCCACAUUGGUACUGAGACACGGACCAAACUCCUACGGGAGGCAGCAGUGAGGAAUAUUGGUCAAUGGGCGUAAGCCUGAACCAGCCAAGUCGCGUGAGGGAUGAAGGUUCUAUGGAUCGUAAACCUCUUUUAUAAGGGAAUAAAGUGCGGGACGUGUCCCGUUUUGUAUGUACCUUAUGAAUAAGGAUCGGCUAACUCCGUGCCAGCAGCCGCGGUAAUACGGAGGAUCCGAGCGUUAUCCGGAUUUAUUGGGUUUAAAGGGAGCGUAGAUGGAUGUUUAAGUCAGUUGUGAAAGUUUGCGGCUCAACCGUAAAAUUGCAGUUGAUACUGGUCGUCUUGAGUGCAGUAGAGGUAGGCGGAAUUCGUGGUGUAGCGGUGAAAUGCUUAGAUAUCACGAAGAACUCCGAUUGCGAAGGCAGCUUACUGGACUGUAACUGACGCUGAUGCUCGAAAGUGUGGGUAUCAAACAGGAUUAGAUACCCUGGUAGUCCACACAGUAAACGAUGAAUACUCGCUGUUUGCGAUAUACAGCAAGCGGCCAAGCGAAAGCAUUAAGUAUUCCACCUGGGGAGUACGCCGGCAACGGUGAAACUCAAAGGAAUUGACGGGGGCCC
rnacentral:rRNA from 1 species